GCCAGCGUAGCUCAGUGGUAGAGCAGUGGUUUCGUAAACCACAGGUCAGCGGUUCAAAUCCGCUCGCUGGCU
rnacentral:tRNA from 1 species